rnacentral:ncRNA from 1 species
AUUCACGUCUGUGACUGUGAGUGUGACUAAUCCUAAAUUAGUCACUGUUGCUGAUUGUUGGGAAGGUGUACGGAAACCCGUCAGGGGAUUUCUUUACAUUGGGGGCAUCUCUUGUAGGUGUCC